CGCAACGGUUGGGGACGACAAACAUUUGCUUAUAGAGUGACCUUUAACGGCAUUUUAUUCGCCCUCAUUUCACCCUGUAAGUGUUUUAUGAGAGCAUAGAAAGUGUCAUAAAGGCAGAUAAGAAAGGUAAAUACUACAGACAUAGAUAAAUAAGAAAACAUGUAAAACAACCUAACACUCCGAAUUUGAGGAGCCGUUGCAAAGUAGUUUCGUGAAUACUACUGAAGCUACCUCGGGUUGAGCAGAGGUGCCGCUAAAUCCGAUUUAGGAACAUUGCAAAUUUCUGCCAACGAGACUGGUGUAUUGGCCUUCAUGAUGUUUCACUCGUCAGGAACCACAAGUCAUAGGGACUGGGCUAAAGAAACGAUGGAAAAGUUCCGAUUUUCAGCGUAUGACCUAAAAUACAUGAGGACUUUCCAGACUGCUGUUGGUA